CCUACGGGUGGCAGCAGUGAGGAAUAUUGGUCAAUGGGCGCGAGCCUGAACCAGCCAAGUAGCGUGAAGGAUGACUGCCCUAUGGGUUGUAAACUUCUUUUAUAAAGGAAUAAAGCGAGGCACGUGUGCCUUUUUGCAUGUACUUUAUGAUUAAGGCUCGGCUAACUCCGUGCCAGCAGCCGCGGUAAUACGGAGGAUCCGAGCGUUAUCCGGAUUUAUUGGGUUUAAAGGGAGCGUAGAUGGGUUGUUAAGUCAGUUGUGAAAGUUUGCGGCUCAACCGUAAGAUUGCAAUGGAGACUGGCAGUCUUGAGUACAGUAGAGGUAGGCGGAAUUCGUGGUGUAGCGGUGAAAUGCGUAGAUAUCACGAAGAACACCGAUUGCGAAGGCAGCUUACUAAACUGUCACUGACAUUGAUGCUCGAAAGUGUGGGUAUCAAACAGGAUUAGAUACCCUAGUAGUC
rnacentral:rRNA from 1 species